GUGCCAGCAGCCGCGGUAAUACCAGCUCCGCGAGUGGUCGGGGUGCUUACUGGGCCUAAAGCGCCCGUAGCCGGCCCGGUAAGUCGUCCCUGAAAUCCACGGGCUCAACCCGUGGGCUGGGGACGAUACUGCCGGGCUUGGGGGCGGGAGAGGCCGAGGGUACUCCCGGGGUAGGGGCGAAAUCCGAUAAUCCCGGGAGGACCACCAGUGGCGAAGGCGCUCGGCUGGAACGCGCCCGACGGUGAGGGGCGAAAGCUGGGGGAGCAAAGGGGAUUAGAUACCCCUGUAGUCCCAGCUGUAAACGAUGCGGGCCAGGUGUCGGGCGGGCGUUAGAGCCCGCCCGGUGCCGCAGGGAAGCCGUUAAGCCCGCCGCCUGGGGAGUACGGCCGCAAGGCUGAAACUUAAAGGAAUUGGCGGGGGGGCACACAAGGGGUGGAGCCUGCGGCUCAAUUGGAGUCAACGCCGGGAACCUCUACCGGGGGCGACAGCAGGAUGACGGCCAGGCUAACGACCUUGCCCGACGCGCUGAGGGGAGGUGCAUGGCCGUCGCCAGCUCGUGCUGUGAAGUGUCCUGUUAAGUCAGGCAACGAGCGAGACCCCCGCCCCUAGUUGCGACCCUGCGGGCGACCGCGGGGGCACACUAGGGGGACUGCCGCCGCUAAGGCGGAGGAAGGAGGGGGCCACGGCAGGUCAGUAUGCCCCGAAACCCCGGGGCUGCACGCGAGCUGCAAUGGCGGGGACAGCGGGAUCCGACCCCGAAAGGGGGAGGUAAUCCCGUAAACCCCGCCCCAGUAGGGAUCGAGGGCUGUAACUCGCCCUCGUGAACGUGGAAUCCCUAGUAACCGCGUGUCACCAACGCGCGGUGAAUACGUCCCUGCCCCUUGCACACACCGCCCGUC
rnacentral:rRNA from 1 species